GUCCCUUAGGGGACAUUCGACAAAUUUGGACUGAUUCAAAGAAGAUUGGUAUGGCAUUUUCGUAAGGAUGACAUGCAUAAAUCGAGAAAUGGUCUAAAUUUUA
rnacentral:snRNA from 2 species